rnacentral:rRNA from 1 species
UUGCCCGAUGAACCUGAAUAUCCGUUAUGGGAAAUUCAUCAUUAGAAUUGUAAUAUCUUAAAAAAUAUUAUAAUGAUAGUGUGCAUUUUUCCCAUAUAAGGACAUUGUAAUCUAUUAAUAUAUUUAAUUUAUCAUAAAAUAUGACUUAUAGUUUAUUUUUAUUAUUAUGCUUGCAUUUUAACAUAAAAUAAAUGUCAUUCAAUUUGAUAAAGUAUUGAUAGAUUUAUAUGAAAUACAAUGCGUUAAUUUUUCGAAAUUAUAUAAUGGCAUAAUUAUCAUUGAUUUUUAUGUUUAUUAUAUGCAU